rnacentral:tRNA from 1 species
AUCGAGAUGGCGCAUCGGAAGCGUGCGGGGCUCAUAACCCCGAGGUCCCAGGAUCGAAACCUGGUCUCGAUA